AGGCUUGUAGCUCAGGUGGUUAGAGCGCACCCCUGAUAAGGGUGAGGUCGGUGGUUCAAGUCCACUCAGGC
rnacentral:tRNA from 1 species